AAUAAAAUUAAAUUAUAAAUUGUAAAUUUAUAAAUGAAAUAAAUUAUUUCUUUUAUUA
rnacentral:tRNA from 1 species